GUGUUGAGACUACCAGAAGUCUGAAGAUAUGGGAGACCCCACGGAGAGAGAAAGAGAGUGAAGAUAAGAAGUUCGUGACAGAUAUCUUGGCAAGUUUGCGGAAAUGGAGAACACACAAAAGGAAUUCUUAGUUCAUUAGAGGAAAAUAAAGAGCUCCCUUUAUGAGCUUCAAAUUACGAAUUAGAGAAUGCCAGAAGGCAGGAGUGGAUGGUGGGCUAGUGACAGCAAAGCCGGAUCCACGUCUUGGCCUGUCUGGCACAGAGCCUGGACCUGCUCAGCCCCCAGACACUCCUCAUGGCCAGCAGCAUCGAGCCACAGAGAAAAUCCUGACAUUUUGUUCUUGUUGAGCAAGAGGCCACCUUCUGAACCAUUUACUUGAGAGACCCAAGUUCCCAAUAAUAACCUAUCUCAAGUAGUAAAUGUUCUAUUUGCUAUUGGCUUGUCCUCAGAGUAAGUGUCACAGAUAGGCCAGAAUAUUUCUGCAUCCUUGAGAAGACAGCUCUGAAGAAGUCGGGGAGUUGACUGUUCUUUGCAGCUAAGGCAUCUAGCUGUUAUCAAAUGAUUCAAACAUCAUCUAUCUCUUCUCUAAAAUCUUUUCAAGUUCAAGGGAAAAAAAUAUUUUUUAUUAACACCAAAGGCAAUUUUGCUCACUUUUUAUUUUAUAUUUAUUUAUUUCUCUUUUAGAGAGAGAGUCUUGGUCUGUUGCCAGGUUGGAGUGCAGUGGUGCAAUCUUGGCUCACUGCAACCUCCACCUCCAGGGUUCAAGUGAUUCUCCUGCCUCAGUCUCCCAAGUAGCUGAGACUACAGGUGUAUGCCACCAUGCCCAGCUAAUUUUUGUAUUUUUAGUAGAGACAGAGUUUUACCAUGUUGGCCAGGAUGGUUUCAAUCUCUUGACCUUGUGAUCCACCUGCUUUCGCCUUCCAAAGUGCUGGGAUUACAGGCUUGAGUCACUGCGCCAGCCAGUUUUACUCACUUUUUAAAAUAAGGUAUAACAAUAAAAGCCAAGUCAUUGUUGGUCUUUAAAAAAUAUACAUAGAGAGAGAGAUGGAGUUUCGCUCUUGUCACCCAGACUAGAGUGCAAUGGUGCAAUCUUGGCUCACUGCAACCUCCGCCUCCCGGGUUCAAGCGAUUCUCCUGCCUCAGCCUCCCGAGUAGCUGGGACUACAGGCACGCACCACCACACCUGGCAAAUUUUUGUAUUUUUGGUAGAGAUGGGGUUUUGCCAUGUUGGCCAAGCUAGUCUUGAACUCCUGACCUCAGGUGAUCUUCCCGCCUUGGCCUCCCAAAGUGCUGGGAUUACAGGCAUGAGCCACUACACCCAGCCUGAUCAUAUAAAAUUCUUAAGAUGCUAGAAAUUCAGAUAUGUUUAUUAAAAUUAUUAUAAUGUGAAAUUUUAAAGAGUUCUAAAAACUUUGAUAAAUAAAAUUAGGAGGAGGUUUAAUUUCAUUGCAAAAUACACAAAUAGAUAAAUUUCAAAAUAGGUUUAUUUAAAAAAUACAUUGUCUAAGGGAGAAGCAACACCAACGUGUUGGCUACAUUUCCAACAGAAUUUUAGAAAAUAUUACUUUAUGAAAGUUUACUUAGCAGGCUUAACUGUUUCUGAAUAUCCAUCUAGAUUUUCUGAAGUACACUAAUUUUUAAAAAAUCUCUCAAUAAAAUUAGUGCUCCAGCUCUCGUUCUUUGCAAACUCUAAAAGUCUCAUUAAAAAACCUAUAAGCCACAUGUAACAUUGUUUUAGUGUUUAUUGGACAGUCAUUAAUUAGAAAUUCUAGAAUUUGGCAGCUGCGACAUAUGCAGCAUUAAGACUUUUAAUAGCACAUUCCAUUUGGCUUCUCAUGAAAACUGAGAAGUCAGAUAUUAUUAUCCAUUUCCUGAAAUAUAUGAGACAUACUGUGUAUUUGUGCUUUGAGCCAAUGAGCAAUUUUUAGCAUUUUCAAAAUCCAAUAUCCUCCGACAUAUCUUUAGAAACGUAUAAGCAAAUUGAAUUAGAUUUGGCAUCUGUUUUUAUUGACCAGUACAGAAACCACAACUCACAA
rnacentral:lncRNA from 1 species